GAUGAACGCUGGCGGCGUGCUUAACACAUGCAAGUCGAACGGAAAGGCUCCUGCUUGCAGGGGUACUCGAGUGGCGAACGGGUGAGUAACACGUGGGUGAUCUGCCCUGCACUUCGGGAUAAGCCUGGGAAACUGGGUCUAAUACCGGAUAGGACGAUGGCUUGGAUGCCAUUGUGGAAAGUUUUUUCGGUGUGGGAUGAGCUCGCGGCCUAUCAGCUUGUUGGUGGGGUAAUGGCCCACCAAGGCGUCGACGGGUAGCCGGCCUGAGAGGGUGUACGGCCACAUUGGGACUGAGAUACGGCCCAGACUCCUACGGGAGGCAGCAGUGGGGAAUAUUGCACAAUGGGCGCAAGCCUGAUGCAGCGACGCCGCGUGGGGGAUGACGGCCUUCGGGUUGUAAACUCCUUUCGCUAGGGACGAAGCGCAAGUGACGGUACCUGGAGAAGAAGCACCGGCUAACUACGUG
rnacentral:rRNA from 1 species